CGACGGUGGCGAUGUCGAGCAGCGCUCAAGGUCCCGAGGCUCUAUUCACGAGGCGCGACGUCGAAGGCAAGGGUUUCCACAGGCAGCCCUUACCACAGAUAAUUGUGAAAUAAUUCCAACCAGUCACAGCCAUCGUUAGAGACCGGCCUCUCCACUCACGGAAUACUACAUACUACAUAAGUAUUGCCAGAAAAAAAACUGUCACCUGUAGACUCGUGGUGUACCAGUUGGAAGUGUAGGGAAUUGUAUGUGGAGUCAACCUCGCGAUGAUUCCGUUACCGCAUAUCAAAACAGAGCCACUUUAAAUGGGCUGAGUAAAAUAUCUUUCUAGGCCAUAAAUGAUGUGUUUGGAACUCCUCGUCCAAGAUGGAUUAGAUGCUUUGACAUCACAAUAACACUUGUAUAUAAACAAUGACAUUUGCAGAUAACCGUAAUGAUGGCCUCGGUUGGUUCCGAACGCAGCCUCGUUGUCCUGCUCGUCCUAACAUGUACCAAACCCAGCAGAGUCCUCCUCAAACACGCCAAGAUCUCAUCAUAUCAGAAUCCUUCAUCACAAAAAUAAGUAAAGUAAAAUGAAGACUGAGCUGAACACCACCUGGUCCUCCCACUAUGCACCAUUACCACCCUUGUUGCAGCUGCAUUUCCUCCUUGUGCGGACGCAGCUGCCCUGUUCUGCUUUCUCUUUUGGCACUUCUACGCCGUAAGUAAACAUCUUCCCUCGAAGUGAACCACUGUAUAAGAGGACGCAGAGGGAGAACCACGGCAAAC